rnacentral:rRNA from 1 species
AGUGAACGCUGGCGGUAGGCCUAACACAUGCAAGUCGAACGGCAGCACAGUAAGAGCUUGCUCUUACGGGUGGCGAGUGGCGGACGGGUGAGGAAUACAUCGGAAUCUACUUUUUCGUGGGGGAUAACGUAGGGAAACUUACGCUAAUACCGCAUACGACCUACGGGUGAAAGCAGGGGAUCUUCGGACCUUGCGCGAUUGAAUGAGCCGAUGUCGGAUUAGCUAGUUGGCGGGGUAAAGGCCCACCAAGGCGACGAUCCGUAGCUGGUCUGAGAGGAUGAUCAGCCACACUGGAACUGAGACACGGUCCAGACUCCUGCGGGAGGCAGCAGUGGGGAAUAUUGGACAAUGGGCGCAAGCCUGAUCCAGCCGUACCGCGUGGGUGAAGAAGGCCUUCGGGUUGUAAAGCCCUUUUGUUGGGAAAGAAAAGCAGCAGGUUAAUACCCCGCUGUUCUGACGGUACCCAAAGAAUAAGCACCGGCUAACUUCGUG